rnacentral:lncRNA from 1 species
AUUGUACUCCAUGUGUGAGGCGCCCCUACUGUUGAGUGAUGACAGCUCUCAAUUGCAGAAGGAAUCCACCUGGAGGGUUUCUGGAAAUACGAAGAUAAAAAUAUAAAAUUUAGCUUUUGACAAACUACAAGAAAAAAAAAAAAACAAAACACAACAAAACCCCACAGCCCUAGAGAGUCAACCUUUACUUUUGCCUUGGAUGGUAACUGGAUGCUUCCCAGGAGAUUUCAAGUAGCCAAGCACAAAAGCACCUUUUCUCACAGCUAUAACCAACAGAAAUCUGAAAAGCAAAAGUCAGAGAUGGAUCUGAAAACCCCAAAGGAGAACUUCAUUUCACUGACCGCUCCAGGGCCACAGGCUCCAUCAGCCUUCUAUACCUUCGACUCCUGGGGAAAGACAGGCCUGAAGUUCACUCUGUCUUAAAUGCCUAUGCCCACCAGAGCUUCCUGCAGGGAGCACUAGAUGGUAUGAAUUGCUAGCCAAACCCAUCCUGUCGCUUGACUUAAACAUUUA